UCUCCCCCAAUCCCUCAGUAGCUCGUCUCCCCCAAUCCCUCCAAACCCUAGCCAAAUCCCCACCUCACUGGCUGCUAGCUCCCGCCCGUCCCUCUUCCUCGGCUCCAAUGGCGCGAAGCCUCCGACUUGACGCCCCUCCUCUUUCUGGUUCCAUCCUCCGCGCCCACCAGCAUCGACCCGAGCCAUCCCCAACGCCAACUCGUCUUCGUCGCGAUGGGGGAAACCCUAGCUGCCUUUCCCCCAAUCCCCGCGCGACCUUCCUCCUCUCCAAUGGCUGCUGGAGAUUUCUCUGCCUGCCCCCUCCACUCCCGUUCGUCCCCGGCCUCUCCCUUCUCCGGUCGAUCUCCCAUCGUUGCCAUGGCUGGCCAGGAGCAGCGCAAACCUUGGGCGCGAGUGCUGCCUCCCGUCGUCGCCAUGGUCGGCCGGUAGUAGCGUCGGCCUUGGGUGCGGCCGCCGCCUCCGGGCGUCACGAGCGCCCUAGCGCUCCUAGCACGCCGCAACGAGGAGGCCCACAUCGACGCGCGAGGGGAAGACGCCGCCAGGCCAUGGACGAGCGCCUGAUUGAGGGAGGGCUCCACCAGCACCUCCAUCGCUGCUUCCUCCUCCCCUCCCUUCCUCUCCGCGAUUUUGCGCCGCCAUGGGGCUUUCACCUGAUGAAACUGGCAGCGUGGAGGAGGCCACCAAUGACGCUACUGCUGCUGCACCAUUUGUCGGUAAAUCUCCUCCUCGUGGCCUCCUUGUCUCCUCCCCUCACUCAUCGUGGCUACGUUUGUCCGUGUUAAUGCUGCUAGGGAUGACAAGAUCGUGAAUCCUCCAGGAGCGUUGGGUGUCAUUUAUAGUGUUCUCCUACCGUGAGAUGCAAAAGGAUCAGCAUACACCGAUUUUGCACAUCAUUUAUAUGCAAAGAAACUCUCAUGCUCAACGAUUCCCCGAGACCUCUGAUUCUGCAAGGACAUAUGGCUGCAGAGCAUCAGCACAGCGAUGUCGCUGGUUUGGUUAAAAAGGGCCAACAUGGAAUUGGAGAAGUCACCUAACCGGGUUAUCACGGGUUAACCGGGGUUGGUGUCAGGGAGAGUGCACAAAGAUGGAGUACUCGGUGGACGUAUGGUCAGGGAACCAAAGCCUACUAUGUCACAACUCCUUCGCAUUGGUUGUCAUGGACAACCAGAUCUAGAGCCUCUUAUAUAUGGUGCAGCAUUAGGUAUUACAAUGAGAGAGAAAAAAAUCAGGCCGGAGGAUACAUGUGAGGUGCUCAAUCUGGUGGAUUCGGUUGUGGCAAGUGUGCUGGCCAAUCGGUAUUUGUUUGAAGAGGGAUGGAAAUAAGUCAGGGAGUCAUACAUGCACACCGGAGAAUAUAUGUGCAGAUCUGGGCAAGGUGCUGCUGCAUCCCAGCUUUAGAGAACUUCCUCAAUGGGCAUUCGUAGGUGUUGGCAUGCGUUUGUUUCACAGGUGUGGACUGAUGGCCUUAUAUGCAUCAACAUGUAGAGUGGUUACUGGGCACAAUAGAUGAGGAGUAACCAUAUGUGUCAUGGAACCCUUCAAUUAGACCAAAUACAUCGGUUCCAUUAUGCUGCUCAUGCCUCGCCUCCUCACUGUGAGAUAUGGUGAAACAUGAGAGGUGGCAAUAUCUAAAGGAAUGGCUGCACUCACCACAAUUAGAUCAUCGGUGGUACUGCCAAAGAUGAUUCAGGUGAUGAACGGCUUAAUCUGGAUCAAAAUGUAUGGCUGCACUCACCACAAAUAUGAUCAUCGGUGGUAUUGCCAAAGAUGAUUCAGGUGAUGAGUGGCUUAAUCUGGAUCAAAAGGUGAAUUCGUAUCCCAACGAACCGAGGAUUUACAACAAUUGGUAUUGGAGGUGAAGAAUUUUCUCCCGCAAUGGUUGAUGUUGUUUAAUCAGUUCUUCAAGAGCCAAUUCCCAAGGUUGGUCUGCAUUUGUUGAAGAAAUUUGUCAACUAAAGGCUGGAGUAUCUGUGAACUGAAGAGGAAUGACGAGGAAUUUUUCGUUCUCGGCCCCUUUGAUUUGUUGGUACAAAUGUCCGAUGUCGUUUGUAUAGUGUUGUCAAAGAGGGUUGUAUUUUAUCUGUCAAGAGAGCCCUGUUUUGGAGUUGCUUCCUCAAAUUGGGUCUAAAGAGGUUGGUUCAGCUAGGGAUUUGGACCCGCCACCUGACCUGCCUAAUGAUAAAAGGCCGCUGUCACAGAAAGUUGCGGCAACUGUGGCAAAUGUUCAGACAAAGAAGAGGUCCUAGAUCAAUAGCCUGGAGGGGACCUUAGGUUGGCACUUAACAUGGCUCGGCUCACCUUGUUUUUAUACCAAAGACCUGGGUUAAUUCUAAAUUUGAAGAUGGACUUGGAUAGCGGGUGUAGAACCUAAAGUUGAAGAUGUGCAAUGCUAUUUCUCGAUUACAAUGGCAAAGUUGUGGGCUGCUGCAGGAAUAUGCAGUACAUUCAUCACAUUUAUAUGUUCUGUUUCGAAUCAACUGGACCUAGCGACGACAAGACUGUUAUCAACUGAUCUGUCAGGAGAGUGUUGUUCCAGGAAUCGCUCGCCUCGGAUUGGGUCUGAAGGUGUGUUUCAGUUGGCACCUCCGGUUGAGUUUGAGGAGAUAAUUUUUUUACACAUUAUCCGGUCCUGCAUGAGCUAUGAGACAAUAUGUAAAGCAACCAAAUAUGAAGCACAGAUUAAGGAGAAAGCAAGGACAAUGAAAGCCACUUCUGUAUAACCAAGAUGAUAGUUGGCUGUAUAUAAAUUCUUCUCAGAUAAUGAUUUCGUAUUGGUUCCUUCCUCCAUUACUCUCUAAGCUACAUAGAAAAUGUUUGACAUAAUGUUUGUCAGUGUAAAAGAUGGAGCCCGAACAUCAUAGUAAAAAAGCAUAAGGUGUAGAUCUUAUGCUUUUUACUAUAUUUUGGUUGCACACACUGCCACUGAGCUUAGCAUUUUGCAUCUAUUUGUAUAUUGGUAUGUUUUUUUUUUUGCUACAACUCCCAAACUAUACAAUGGUUAUAUCCGUGUAUCUGUCUAAGAGAUUGCUCACCUAUUUGGUACA